rnacentral:lncRNA from 1 species
CCUUGAUGGGAAUGGAGUAUAAUAUACUUGAACAGCUUGUUGGGCUAGCACAAAGGAAUCAUUUACAUAUGCUUUUGAUUCAUGGAUUUACCUUCAUACAAUUAUCGGUAUCAAAUCAUCGGUACUUAAAUAGAAUGACACUAUUACCUCCAAGGUAAGUCAACCUGAUCACUUCUUCGAGGAUUCCAUAGUAGUCACUCUCCACCUUUGCCCAUCAACUAUCCU